rnacentral:tRNA from 1 species
CAGGGAGACAAAACUGAUUUUGAUGUCUGAAUUAUUUAUCUUUAGACCAGAAUCCUGUCACCUUAGGUCGAUCGGUACCUCAAUUAGAUAAUAAAAAACUAUGAAAUUAGCUUUAAAUAUUAUUUAAUUCAGUUCCUAAACUUUGUCUAGGUCACACCCAGCAAGGGUUCUCCUGGGCCAUUAGCUCAGGUGGUUAGAGCGCACCCCUGAUAAGGGUGAGGUCCCUGGUUCUAGUCCAGGAUGGCCCAUUCGGUGUUGGGGGUAUAGCUCAGUUGGUAGAGCGCCUGCUUUGCAAGCAGGAUGUCAGCGGUUCGAGUCCGCUUACCUCCACUGAUCUACCUGUUGAUAGCGAAUCCUAAGGAGGUUUUUGUUGAUUUGAUCUAGUAUUUGUUCUUGAUGAAUGAACCUAGCUUCUUGUCAUUCCUACUAAACAUCAUUUUUAGUUAUGGCUGAUAAGACGCUGGGCUCCCUGCAAUACUAAUUGCAGAGAUGUUCAGUAGAACCUUGACGACUGCAUAGGUGAGUCUGGAAAAAUAAAGCAUCUCAUAGAUGCAUUAUUUUUUUGGAUCAAAUUUGAACUCUGAUUUAAUCAGAUUACUAAUUUGAUUCGAAAUUUUAAUGUUUGAUUCUUGAGCAAGAGCCGAGACUCUGUAACGCUCUUUUGAUGUUUUUAUACAUUAAGAGUCAGAUUUUUAAUUUUGUUUUUCGCUAUAUGAUUUUUGGAUAAUAUCUAAAUCUCUAAUAACUGAAAAUACUUAAUUAAUAAGAACAGUGUUGACAACACAUGGCGUUAUAGAGAUUUAUAU